rnacentral:rRNA from 1 species
UACGAAGGGGGCUAGCGUUGUUCGGAAUUACUGGGCGUAAAGCGCACGUAGGCGGAUAUUUAAGUCAGGGGUGAAAUCCCAGAGCUCAACUCUGGAACUGCCUUUGAUACUGGGUAUCUUGAGUAUGGAAGAGGUAAGUGGAAUUCCGAGUGUAGAGGUGAAAUUCGUAGAUAUUCGGAGGAACACCAGUGGCGAAGGCGGCUUCCUGGACCGACACUGACGCUGAGGCGACGAAAGCUAGGGGAGCAAACGGG